GCUCCGGUAGCUCAGAGGAUAGAGCAUCUGCCUUCUAAGCAGGUGGUCGCUGGUUCGAUUCCAGCCCGGAGUACCA
rnacentral:tRNA from 1 species